GACGAACGCUGGCGGCGUGCUUAACACAUGCAAGUCGAGCGGAAAGGCCCCUUUGGGGGUACUCGAGCGGCGAACGGGUGAGUAACACGUGGGUAAUUUACCCCUGACAUCGGGAUACUCCGGGGAAACCCGGCCCAAUACCGAAUAAGGUGCGGAGACGCUGGUCGCCGUACCAAAGGUAGCUUCGGCCUCCGGUCAGGGAUGAGCCCGCGGCCCAUUAGCUUGUUGGCGGGGUAAUGGCCCACCAAGGCUACGAUGGGUAGCUGGUCUGAGAGGACGAUCAGCCACACUGGGACUGAGACACGGCCCAGACUCCUACGGGAGGCAGCAGUGGGGAAUCUUGCGCAAUGGGCGGAAGCCUGACGCAGCAACGCCGCGUGCGGGAAGAAGGCCUUCGGGUCGUAAACCGCUUUCAGGGGGGACGAAGCUUCCGGGGUUAAUAGCCCACGGGGUGACGGUACCCUCAGAAGAAGGACCGGCUAACUACGUGCCAGCAGCCGCAGUAAA
rnacentral:rRNA from 1 species